rnacentral:lncRNA from 1 species
GAUUGGACUAAAGUCCGCCAGGCCCGAUCACGAGCCCCGCCCGAGCCCAUUUGGUUCCCAUAAUAGCUUCCAACAUGCUGUCAACCCUCUAUAAUAGCUUGAAAAGAAAAGACAAGCUACAUGAUGUUAUCUAAAAGGAAAAAGAAAAAUAGCUUCAAAUAUGACAUGUAGCUUCCAAUAUGACGUGCAUAUAAGAAUCAUCUAUUUAUCAGGCUCCAGAACCAAAAUUCCAGGUAGAGAAUCAUGAUAACUUCCAGGUAACGCAGCAUGAAUAAGAACCUUGGAUCCAAAAGACAGACAGAGAGAGAGAGAGAGAGCGCACAUAUUUCCAAAC